GUUUAAUUAAAAGCAACGCGAAGAACCUUACCAGGUCUUGACAUCCCGAUGCUAUUCUUAGAGAUAGGAAGUUACUUCGGUACAUCGGAGACAGGUGGUGCAUGGUUGUCGUCAGCUGGUGUCGUGAGAUGUUGGGUUAAGUCCCGCAACGAGCGCAACCCUUAUUGUUAGUUGCCAUCAUUAAGUUGGGCACUCUAGCGAGACUGCCGGUAAUAAACCGGAGGAAGGUGGGGAUGACGUCAAAUCAUCAUGCCCCUUAUGACCUGGGCUACACACGUGCUACAAUGGUCGGUACAACGAGUUGCGAGCCGGUGACGGCAAGCUAAUCUCUGAAAGCCGAUCUCAGUUCGGAUUGGAGGCUGCAACUCGCCUCCAUGAAGUCGGAAUCGCUAGUAAUCGCGGAUCAGCACGCCGCGGUGAAUACGUUCCCGGGCCUUGUACACCCCCCCCGUCACACCACGAGAGUUUGUAACACCCGAAGUCGGGGAGGUAACCUUUUAGGGGCCAGCCGCCUAAGGUGGGAUGGAUGAUUGGGGUGAAAGUCGAAACAAAGGAAGCCUA
rnacentral:rRNA from 1 species